rnacentral:rRNA from 1 species
GACGAACGCUGGCGGCGUGCUUAACACUUGCAAGUCGAACGGAAAGACCCUGCUUUUGUGGGGUGCUCGAGUGGCGAACGGGUGAGUAACACGUGAGUAACCUGCCCUUGACUUUGGGAUAACUUCAGGAAACUGGGGCUAAUACCGGAUAGGAGCUCCUGCUGCAUGGUGGGGGUUGGAAAGUUUCGGCGGUUGGGGAUGGACUCGCGGCUUAUCAGCUUGUUGGUGGGGUAGUGGCUUACCAAGGCUUUGACGGGUAGCCGGCCUGAGAGGGUGACCGGCCACAUUGGGACUGAGAUACGGCCCAGACUCCUACGGGAGGCAGCAGUGGGGAAUAUUGCACAAUGGGCGGAAGCCUGAUGCAGCAACGCCGCGUGCGGGAUGACGGCCUUCGGGUUGUAAACCGCUUUCGCCUGUGACGAAGCGUGAGUGACGGUAAUGGGUAAAGAAGCACCGGCUAACUACGUG